rnacentral:snRNA from 1 species
CAACAUUUGUUCUUUUAGUAUUUGUCCAGAUGGUUUUCUCAAAGAGAAAGCCUCC